GACGAACGCUGGCGGCGUGCUUAACACAUGCAAGUCGAACGGAAAGGCCCUGCUUUUGUGGGGUGCUCGAGUGGCGAACGGGUGAGUAACACGUGAGUAACCUGCCCUUGACUUUGGGAUAACUUCAGGAAACUGGGGCUAAUACCGGAUAGGAGCUCCUGCUGCAUGGUGGGGGUUGGAAAGUUUCGGCGGUUGGGGAUGGACUCGCGGCUUAUCAGCUUGUUGGUGGGGUAGUGGCUUACCAAGGCUUUGACGGGUAGCCGGCCUGAGAGGGUGACCGGCCACAUUGGGACUGAGAUAGGGCCCAGUCUCCUACGGGAGGCAGCAGUGGGGAAUAUUGCACAAUGGGCGGGAGCGUGAUGCAGCAACGCCGCGUGCGGGAUGACGGCCUUCGGGUUGUAAACCGCUGUCGCCUGUGACGAAGCGUGAGUGACGGUAAUGGGUAAAGAAGCACCGGCUAACUACGUG
rnacentral:rRNA from 1 species